AUUUCAUGAUGAGGACACCUCUGUAGAAUGUCCUUGAAUCCCUCUCAUGCGUCCGAAAGCGCUUCAUCCUCAUCUUGACGAAACGUCAUAAUUUCAUUUCUAAUCUU